UAACUUUCACUUACUGAAGUAUAUUCAAAAUAGACUUUUCACAAAGCAGCAGAUAUUUUAUUUGAAAGACAAAUAAAGCAAUAACCACUUUCUUAAUCCAAAAAUGUCUGCCAUAAUAAUUUACAUCUUGUUGUUGCUGACGGAUUUUCGUCUGAUCAAAGCCACGAUGACCAACAGUACUUAUUAUAUCAAGAUAACAUCUCCGUUAAUACAGGAAACUGUUAUCCACACAUCAGUUCCAGGAUCCUUAACAACUUGUGCAGCGCUGUGCGGCUUCGUGGCUGGCUGUGAUGCCUUCACAUGGGACAAGAAAAAUACGACAGCAAAGGUCUGUAAAAUUCUCAACUUUCCUGCGGCACCAGCAUCAGCAUACAACUCAGAAGACUCAGGAAUCAGUCUCUACAUUAAAAACAAUAGUCAGCUGCCUUUGAAGACCAGCUUAAACGGGAUUUAUGGACAGUGGAGUGAAGAUCUAAUGUGUACAAAAAACGGAUACGUCUAUGGCUUUAUACCUACAG